AAUUAUAACAAACAAAAAUUUACCGAAAAAAUUGGAACGAUGCAGAGAAGAUUAGCAUGGCCCGUGCGCAAGGAUGACACGCAAAAUCGUGAAGCGUUCCACAUUUUU